GGCUGGUUAGCUCAGUCAGUUGAGCAUGGCGCUAACAGCGCCAAGGUCACGGGUUUGAUUCCCGUUCAGUCC
rnacentral:tRNA from 1 species